UCUAAGGAUGAUUAGGGAUUUUUUCCUAAUCUAAAUAAUAUAACAGGUUAAUGUUGACCGUCCUCAUUUCUCUUCUUACAUUUAGUGUUUCUCUUUUCUGCAUAAGGGCCGGUAGCUCAGUUGGUUAGAGCACACCCUUGAUAAGGGUGGGGUCGAAAGUUCGAGUCUUUCUCGGCCCACCAUAUAUAACAGGGGGAUUAGCUCAGCUGGGAGAGCGCCUGAUUUGCAUUCAGGAGGUCAGCGGUUCGAUCCCGCUAUCCUCCACCAAGAAACAUUUAGUUAUUUUAUUUGUGAAUAAUUUUUUAUAUUAUCAAUAUCUAUAUCCGAUUGUUAAAAUUUAUAUUUUAACAAUCAAUUAAUAUUCGAAUAGAUGAAUAUUAAAAAAAAUUUGAUUCAACACAGAAUUUUUUUCUGUGCAUAAAU
rnacentral:misc_RNA from 1 species